UACGUAGGGGGCAAGCGUUGUCCGGAAUUAUUGGGCGUAAAGGGCGCGCAGGCGGCCUGUUAAGUCUGAUGUGAAAGACCGCGGCUCAACCGCGGGGUGGCAUCAGAAACUGGCAGGCUUGAGUGCAGGAGAGGAGAGUGGAAUUCCCGGUGUAGCGGUGGAAUGCGUAGAGAUCGGGAGGAACACCAGUGGCGAAGGCGGCUCUCUGGCCUGUUACUGACGCUGAGGCGCGAAAGCGUGGGGAGCGAACAGGAUUAGAUACCCCCGUAGUCC
rnacentral:rRNA from 1 species